AGCAGUCGCCACGGUAAUACGAAGGGGGCUAGCGUUGCUCGGAAUGACUGGGCGUAAAGGGCGCGUAGGCGGAUGGCACAGUCAGAUGUGAAAUUCCUGGGCUUAACCUGGGGGCUGCAUUUGAUACGUGUUGUCUAGAGUGUGAAAGAGGGUCGUGGAAUUCCCAGUGUAGAGGUGAAAUUCGUAGAUAUUGGGAAGAACACCGGUGGCGAAGGCGGCGACCUGGUUCAUGACUGACGCUGAGGCGCGAAAGCGUGGGUAGCAAACAGGAUUAGAUACCCCUGUAGUCCCUGUCUCUUAUAC
rnacentral:rRNA from 1 species